CUGCUCUUUUCACAGGAUAUGUUCUAUAGGCUCGUACCGCUGCAUCCUCCACCAAUAAGGAGGCAAGCACUUCAGUCUGGUUGAGUCAUUCUGAAAACUGGGCCAGAGCAUGAUUAACGACGAGGAUUCGUCUGAUGGAUGGAUCCGAUGGCUGUAGAGGAUAGUUCCUUCCAGUCUCACACAUGGGCAGGGUGGCCCAGUGGUUGUCUGACAGGCU
rfam:Triticum aestivum genome assembly, contig: Triticum_aestivum_CS42_TGACv1_scaffold_093038_2AL